rnacentral:rRNA from 1 species
GACAGAGGGGGCAAGCGUUGCUCGGAAUCACUGGGCGUAAAGGGCGCGUAGGCGGGAUGGCAAGUCGGUCGUGAAAUCUCUCGGCUCAACCGAGAAACGUCGGCCGAUACUGCCGUUCUUGAGGGAUGCAGAGGAGACUGGAAUUCCCGGCGUAGCGGUGAAAUGUGUAGAGAUCGGGAGGAACACCGGUGGCGAAGGCGGGUCUCUGGGCAUUUCCUGACGCUGAGGCGCGAAAGCGUGGGGAGCAAACGGG